rnacentral:rRNA from 1 species
CCUACGGGUGGCAGCAGUGGGGAAUAUUGCACAAUGGGGGAAACCCUGAUGCAGCGACGCCGCGUGAGUGAAGAAGUAAUUCGUUAUGUAAAGCUCUAUCAGCAGGGAAGAAAAUGACGGUACCUGAGUAAGAAGCUACGGCUAACUACGUGCCAGCAGCCGCGGUAAUACGUAGGGGGCAAGCGUUAUCCGGAUUGACUGGGUGGAAAGGGAGCGUAGACGGAAGUGCAAGUCUGGAGUGAAAGGCGGGGGCUCAACCCCCGGACUGCUCUGGAAACGGUACGGCUGGAGUGCAGGAGGGGUAAGUGGAAUUCCUAGUGUAGCGGUGAAAUGCGUAGAUAUUAGGAGGAACACCAGUGGCGAAGGCAGCUUACUGGACUGUAACUGACGUUGAGGCUCGAAAGCGUGGGGAGCAAACAGGAUUAGAUACCCCAGUAGUC